GACGAACCGUGCGAACGUUGUUCGGAAUCACUGGGCUUAAAGGGCGCGUAGGCGGUCUCCCAAGUCCGGGGUGAAAUCUUUCGGCCUAACCGGAAAAGGGCCUUGGAUACUGGGGGACUCGAGGGGGGUAGGGGCAAGCGGAACUUCCGGUGGAGCGGUGAAAUGCGUUGAUAUCGGAAGGAACGCCGGCGGCGAAAGCACUCUGCUGGGCCGACACUGACACUGAGAGACGAAAGCUAGGGGAGCGAAUGGG
rnacentral:rRNA from 1 species